rnacentral:rRNA from 1 species
AGAGUUUGAUCCUGGCUCAGGAUGAACGCUGGCGGCGUGCCUAAUACAUGCAAGUCGAGCGAACGGACGAGAAGCUUGCUUCUCUGAUGUUAGCGGCGGACGGGUGAGUAACACGUGGAUAACCUACCUAUAAGACUGGGAUAACUUCGGGAAACCGGAGCUAAUACCGGAUAAUAUUUUGAACCGCAUGGUUCAAAAGUGAAAGACGGUCUUGCUGUCACUUAUAGAUGGAUCCGCGCUGCAUUAGCUAGUUGGUAAGGUAACGGCUUACCAAGGCAACGAUGCAUAGCCGACCUGAGAGGGUGAUCGGCCACACUGGAACUGAGACACGGUCCAGACUCCUACGGGAGGCAGCAGUAGGGAAUCUUCCGCAAUGGGCGAAAGCCUGACGGAGCAACGCCGCGUGAGUGAUGAAGGUCUUCGGAUCGUAAAACUCUGUUAUUAGGGAAGAACAUAUGUGUAAGUAACUGUGCACAUCUUGACGGUACCUAAUCAGAAAGCCACGGCUAACUACGUGCCAGCAGCCGCGGUAAUACGUAGGUGGCAAGCGUUAUCCGGAAUUAUUGGGCGUAAAGCGCGCGUAGGCGGUUUUUUAAGUCUGAUGUGAAAGCCCACGGCUCAACCGUGGAGGGUCAUUGGAAACUGGAAAACUUGAGUGCAGAAGAGGAAAGUGGAAUUCCAUGUGUAGCGGUGAAAUGCGCAGAGAUAUGGAGGAACACCAGUGGCGAAGGCGACUUUCUGGUCUGUAACUGACGCUGAUGUGCGAAAGCGUGGGGAUCAAACAGGAUUAGAUACCCUGGUAGUCCACGCCGUAAACGAUGAGUGCUAAGUGUUAGGGGGUUUCCGCCCCUUAGUGCUGCAGCUAACGCAUUAAGCACUCCGCCUGGGGAGUACGACCGCAAGGUUGAAACUCAAAGGAAUUGACGGGGACCCGCACAAGCGGUGGAGCAUGUGGUUUAAUUCGAAGCAACGCGAAGAACCUUACCAAAUCUUGACAUCCUUUGACAACUCUAGAGAUAGAGCCUUCCCCUUCGGGGGACAAAGUGACAGGUGGUGCAUGGUUGUCGUCAGCUCGUGUCGUGAGAUGUUGGGUUAAGUCCCGCAACGAGCGCAACCCUUAAGCUUAGUUGCCAUCAUUAAGUUGGGCACUCUAAGUUGACUGCCGGUGACAAACCGGAGGAAGGUGGGGAUGACGUCAAAUCAUCAUGCCCCUUAUGAUUUGGGCUACACACGUGCUACAAUGGACAAUACAAAGGGCAGCGAAACCGCGAGGUCAAGCAAAUCCCAUAAAGUUGUUCUCAGUUCGGAUUGUAGUCUGCAACUCGACUACAUGAAGCUGGAAUCGCUAGUAAUCGUAGAUCAGCAUGCUACGGUGAAUACGUUCCCGGGUCUUGUACACACCGCCCGUCACACCACGAGAGUUUGUAACACCCGAAGCCGGUGGAGUAACCUUUUAGGAGCUAGCCGUCG